AGCGAACGCUGGCGGCAGGCCUAACACAUGCAAGUCGAGCGGUCGUAGCAAUACGGCAGCGGCAGACGGGAGAGUAACACGUGGGAACGUACCCUUCAGUUCGGAACAACCAAGGGAAACUUUGGCUAAUACCGGAUACGUCCGUAAGGAGAAAGAUUUAUCGCUGAAGGAUCGGCCCGCGUCUGAUUAGCUAGUUGGUGAGGUAACGGCUCACCAAGGCGACGAUCAGUAGCNGGUCUGAGAGGAUGACCAGCCUCAUUGGGACUGAGACACGGCCCAAACUCCUACGGGAGGCAGCAGUGGGGAAUAUUGGACAAUGGGCGCAAGCCUGAUCCAGCCAUGCCGCGUGAUGAUGAAGGCCUUAGGGUUGUAAAGUCCUUUUAACGGGAAG
rnacentral:rRNA from 1 species